ACAUUGAUAGCUCAGUGGCAGAGCGGUGAGGCGUUGACCCAUUCGGCCCAGGUUCAAGCCCUGGUCGAUGCA